CUUAAUACAUUGAUUUGAUCAAUAAAAAAGUAAAUUUGUUUUUCAUUCAAGUGUAAUGUGUCCUUGAAUAAUCCAUGAAAUUAGUUUUUGAUGCAUAUUCUCAAAGUGUUGAGAAUUAGAGAUAUGUAUUUAAUCCCUAAAUGUUCUUGGUCAUAGGAUCAUCAUGAGAAUGGUGAUCGAUCUGGAUAGACUGGCACAC
rnacentral:lncRNA from 1 species